UGCGUAGGCGGAUUAAUAAGUCAGUGGUGAAAUCUUUCGGCUCAACCGAGAAACUGCCAUUGAUACUGUUAAUCUUGAGUUCGGUUGAGGUAGGCGGAAUGUGUAAUGUAGCGGUGAAAUGCUUAGAUAUUACACAGAACACCAAUUGCGUAGGCAGCUUACUAGACCGACACUGACGCUGAGGCACGAAAGCGUGGGGAGCGAACAGGAUUAGAUACCAUGGUAGUCC
rnacentral:rRNA from 1 species